rnacentral:misc_RNA from 1 species
CGUAGGUGAACCUGCGGAAGGAUCAUUAACAAAUCCUAGCUGUUGUUGCCUUUGUGCAUCGACAGUGAAACACCGUGCACCGGCGACCGGGGGACGGGAGAUCGGUUCGUAAGAGGUGUGCGGCCGGCGCAUUGUCGGGUGCCGCACUUAAAUCGACGGAAGUCAACCGUCCGACGGGCCUCGAACCGAGCCCUCCCUCCUUUGGUCUUUUGUCUUUGAACCGUUUUAGACCCUGUGGUGUUUUGGUAUUUUGUGUUGAUGGCAAAAAUGAAAAUUGACAACUUCUGACGGUGGAUCUCUUGGCUCGUGCAUCGAUGAAGAACGCAGCAAGCUGCGAUACCUAGUGUGAAUUGCAGAAUUCAGUGAAUCAUCGAGUCUUUGAACGCAAAUGGCGCUCCCGGGGUCUCCCCGGGAGCAGGUCUGUCCGAGCGUCUGCCAACCGAAACCGGCUGUUGCCAUCGUUGCGAACGGUGGCGACACGAUUGAGGGGCUGCGGCGACGACCAAUCGCCGCACUCCUUGAAGAUGCCAGCAAACCGUGCGGUCGAUGCUGGGCCGCGACGGCGUUACGACGAGACAGUCGUCACAACGGCGUGACAUGUUGUGUGGUUGACUCUCGUGUAAUGCCUCGUGCGCACGGCUCGAUCCGCGGGGCUCAGGAACGC